UGACAUUAUCCAUACCAUUUAAUCGUUUGCCUGUUGGUAUUUUUGCUUUGAUUGGUUACAGAUUCCGAAACAAACCAAUUUUGAAUUGAUUAUCGAUAAUCGAAGAAAAAAACAUAUAUACUUUUUUUUCGGUGAUUGCCCGAAGCGAAACUUGAUGUAAUAAAAUCGGGAAGCAAGAAGCAGAAGACAUAACGGAAAAAAAAGAUCAAUAGACCCAUCGAUGUC